GAAACUGGUAAGCUAGAGUCAUACAGAGGUACGUGGAAUUCUGCAUGUAGGGGUAAAAUCCGUUGAUAUGCAGAGGAACACCAAAAGCGAAAGCAGCGUACUGGGUAUGUACUGACACCCAGAGACGAAAGCAUGGGUAGCGAACGGGAUUAGAUACCCCGGUAGUCCAUGCCGUAAACGAUGAUCACUCGAUGUUAGACUUUUCAAUCGGUCUAGUGUCCAAGCUAACGCGAUAAGUGAUCCGCCUGGGGAGUACGGUCGCAAGAUUAAAACUCAAAGGAAUAGACGGGGACCUACACAAGCAGUGGAGCAUCUGGUUUAAUUCGAUAAUAAGCGAGGAACCUCACCUAGGCUUGACAUCCCGAUGAACGCUCUAGAAAUAGAGAACUGCCUUUUGGAACAUCGGUGACAGGUGCUGCAUGGUUGUCGUCAGCUCGUGCCUUGAGGUGUUCGGUUAAGUCCGUGAACGAGCGCAACCCACGUCGCAUGUUGUAUUUUUCAUGCGAGACCGCCGGUUACAAAUCGGAGGAAGGUGUGGAUGACGUCAAAUCAGCAUGGCCCUUAUGCCUAGGGCUACACAGGUGCUACAAUGGCCAGCACAACGGGCAGCGAAGCAGCAAUGCCAAGCCAAUCCCUUAAAACUGGUCCAAGUUCGGAUUGAGGGCUGCAACUCGCCCUCAUGAAGUUGGAAUUGCUAGUAAACGUGCAUCAGCAAUGGCGCGUUGAAUAUGUUCCUAGGUCUUGUACUCACCGCCCGUCAAGUCAUGGAAGAUAGGGGCGCCCGAAGUCAUUCGUUACUGGAGGCCUAAGGUGAAACUAUUGACUGGGACUAAGUC
rnacentral:rRNA from 1 species